rnacentral:lncRNA from 1 species
GAUCCUUGUUUAUUGGGAGGAGCUCUCUGCUGCCCCAGGAAUGGGCUGAUUUCCUGAGUACACAUUAAUCUGAGCUCCCUCAGCCCUAGGGGUAGGGGGAUUGGGGGCACAAGAUGGGUGGAGCCAGAUAGGGAAGAUUCCCCCAGUGUUGUCCUGCUCCCAGUCCAGGUUUGGGACAAUGCCGGCAGCGUUUCCCUGUGUCUUUCCCCCACAAAGUCUCCAAGUCUUUCCUCAAAUGAUCGUCAAGGUUUGGGAGAAACAAUCUCUUCCUCUGCCCGGGUUGCGUGGAUCUCCAGUGGAAAGAUACUGCAUGACAUUGAAACAGCCGGUGUAUUAACUAAUGUAUAUGACAGUCCACCUCUGUAUGAUGAUGUGAAAGUGCAAUUUUUCUCUUCAGCUUUAUCUACCAAGAAAUGAAUUGGAUAAUCCACAUAAACAAAAAGCUUGGAAAAUUUAUCCACCAGAAUUUGCCGUGGAGAUACUUUUUGGUAUGGUUUCUGUGGAUUCUCUGCUCUUUGUGCUCUCCUCCCCACAUUGGUGGCUCCAUCUGGCACAGGGAAGCUUCUGGAUGUCAGAAGGUAACAUGUUGGCAGGCAGUUGAUAGCACCCCACCCUCCAGGCUUGAUAAUUUCCUUAGGACAGGGACUGAAGCAGUACAUCCCAAACUUUCUUACUGGAAUAAAGUUUGCUAAUUUUUCUGUCUUCUUGGGCAAUCGUAUCCAGUCCCAAGCCUUUUAAAAAAA